UUUGAUCAAUGGAGGCCCAUGUAAGCCCAAAAUAAGGAACGAGGACUUUAAAAUUGACAUCCAUCCCCAUUCUUGAAUCCGAUAACCCUAAUUUCACACGACCGAGGAGAAGCCGUCUCUCUCUUCUCACCACCGCCGAAUUCUUCAGAUGUCGCGUGUGUACGUUGGUAAUUUGGAUCCGCGAGUUACUGAGCGUGAGCUCGAGGAUGAGUUUCGUGUCUAUGGAGUCAUCAAGAGUGUUUGGGUUGCAAGACGUCCUCCUGGUUACGCCUUUCUUGAUUUUGAAGACUCAAGGGAUGCCCGCGACGCCAUUCGUGAUUUAGAUGGCAAGAAUGGAUGGAGGGUGGAAGAGUCUCACAACCGUGGUGGUGGUGGAGGCCGUGGUGGUCGUGGAGGAGGUGAUGGUGGCCGUGGCCGUGGUGGUUCUGAUUUGAAGUGCUAUGAGUGUGGCGAGCCUGGUCACUUUGCACGUGAGUGCCGCUCUCGUGGCGGCUCUGGGAGGCGUCGCAGUCCGUCUCCUCGUGGUCGCAGUCCUCCUAGAUACAGAAAGAGCCCAACGUAUGGAGAAAGGCGCAGGAGCUACAGCCCUCGCGCAAGAUCUCCUCCUCCUCCAAGGCGUCGCAGUCCUUCUCCUCGUGGUCGCAACUACAGUAGGUCACCCCCACCUUACAGAGGACGUGACGAGGUCCCAUAUGCUAAUGGAAAUGGUCUGAAAGAUGUGCGCAGAAGCCGGAGCUGAGUGUUAAGGGAUGGAUGAGGAAACCUACUGUUUGCUUGCGACGUCAAGAGGACAGCUUAAGGAAAACUAGUAUAUGUAUUUCACUAAAAGAAUCAUGUUUUUAGCUGUUGGGUGGAUUUGGAUAUGCUUGCCUACUUUUGUCUGCCGUGGUUAUGUCUACCGUUAGGUUUCUUCCGUGUUUCUACUGCUUCAUUGCUUAUCUCUGCUUCUCUACUCUGCCUUGGGGCUUCUUCGUUGAUUGAUUGACCUGCAAUGGCUUCUUCAUAAUAAUUUACUGCAUUGUGGAUCAUAAUGUUUUUUUCGGAUCUCUCUCUACUGCUUUGUUGCUAUCUCUUCUUCUCUGCUCUGCCCUGAGGCUUCUUCUUAGAUGAUUGACCUGCAGUGGCAUCUUCAUUGUAGUUUACUACGUUGUGGAUCUACUUGUUUCUGCUUCAUUGCUAUGCUCUUCUCUGCUCUGCCAUGAGACUCCUUCAUUAAUUGAUUGACAUGCUGGCUACUUCAUAAUAGUUUACUACGUUGUGGAUCUUAACGUUUUCUUCGGGUCUCUACUGCUUCGUUGUUCAUCGCUUCUCUGCUCUGCCCUGAAGCUUCUUCGUUAAUUGUUUGACCUGCAAUGGCAUCUUCAUAAUGGUUUACUACUGUAGUGAAUCUCUACUUGUUUCUACUGCUUCAUUGCUUAUCUCUGCUUCCCUGCUCUGCCCUGCCCUGAGGCUUCUUCUUAAUUGACCCCCGAUGGCAUGUAGUUUACCACAUUGUGGAUCACUACUUGCUACUGCUUCUGCUUCCUCGUACGUUUGAAAGCUUCGUCAGCCCUGAUCCUACCUUCUUCAAAACUCCUCUGGCCUGAGAGUUUCUGAGCCGUUUCAACUUUCAAGCUUCAUUUGUUACACACUGUGGCAGGUAGUUAUUACGUUCCAGAUGUAUUCUUUGAAAGCAUGAUAGCUUUUGACCAAUAGCAUUAUAAAAUACUCUGUUUCAAGCCUGUUCUUUACAGGUUGGUGCAAGAAGUGUUUUCUUUUAA